GUUCUACAAAAAGACAGACCGGUCUGCUGUUUUUCUUGUGCAUUUUGUCCAGAGCAGCACAUUUCCAACCAGACAGCCAUAACCGGUGGACCAGGAAGAUGUUCUCCCAAAGGCAGCCUGAAUUUGCUGCAGUUUAUGCGGAGGAAAUGCUAGCUAAAACCAACAUCAUCAUCAUCAUAUAGGGCAGUGGGACCCUAAACCUCUACCAGCCCUGGGAGCCUGCCUCAGAGAGGACAGAGGAUGGACAGUCAGCCCAUAGUGGCCUGAAGAAAGUGUCUGAGCCUUCCCACAUACGCCCCUCCACACACACAUACUCACCUUAAAAUCAAAGGCUUCAACUAAAAGGAAGCUUGAUGGUGUUCAAUCAGAGGACUGACCUCUUGCAGGAGCAAAUUGAUACCCUAUGGCAAAUCGCUCAACCUGGCUGUCAAUGAAAGUAUGCUGGACUUUGUGUCACUAGCAUACAACAUGAGAAUUUUUCCUGCGCUGCAAAUCUGUCUAAACAAUUGUCGAGCUAUAUUUUAGGUAAUUGGACUGGAGAAUUCGAUACUACGAUGGAGCAGCUGAGAGUGGCCAUUGUCACAGUAAAUUCUACCGGAGUGGACGCAGGACUACCCACAGGAUUAUCAACAUGGAUUGCUGCAGCCAUGAAUCAUCUGAAGGAAUGGGCGGGCAUGGGAGUGUUAGCAGGCCUUCUGGUGUUGGUCUCCUUGGUUUGCCUGUGGUAUAUAUGCAAGAUUAGAGUCUCACAACAGUGUGAUGCAGCCAUGAUCAUUCAGGCCUUUACAGCCAUUGAAGCAAGACAUUC